AGAGUUUGAUCCUGGCUCAGGAUGAACGCUAGCGACAGGCCUAACACAUGCAAGUCGAGGGGCAGCGGAGAGGUAGCAAUACCUUUGCCGGCGACCGGCGCACGGGUGAGUAACACGUAUGCAAUCCACCUGUAACAGGGGGAUAACCCGGAGAAAUCCGGACUAAUACCCCAUAAUAUGGGCUCUCCGCAUGGAGGGUCCAUUAAAGAGAGCAAUUUUGGUUACAGACGAGCAUGCGCUCCAUUAGCCAGUUGGCGGGGUAACGGCCCACCAAAGCGACGAUGGAUAGGGGUUCUGAGAGGAAGGUCCCCCACAUUGGAACUGAGACACGGUCCAAACUCCUACGGGAGGCAGCAGUGAGGAAUAUUGGUCAAUGGACGAGAGUCUGAACCAGCCAAGUCGCGUGAAGGAAGACGGAUCUAUGGUUUGUAAACUUCUUUAGUGCGGGAACAAAGCGGCGUCGUGACGCCUGAUGAGUGUACCGCAAGAAUAAGCAUCGGCUAACUCCGUGCCAGCAGCCGCGGUAAUACGGAGGAUGCGAGCGUUAUCCGGAUUUAUUGGGUUUAAAGGGAGCGCAGGCUGCGAGGCAAGUCAGCGGUCAAAUGUCGGGGCUCAACCCCGGCCUGCCGUUGAAACUGUUUUGCUAGAGUUCGAGUGAGGUAUGCGGAAUGCGUUGUGUAGCGGUGAAAUGCAUAGAUAUGACGCAGAACUCCGAUUGCGAAGGCAGCAUACCAACUCGCGACUGACGCUGAGGCUCGAAAGCGUGGGUAUCGAACAGGAUUAGAUACCCUGGUAGUCCACGCAGUAAACGAUGAAUACUAACUGUUCGGAGGGCGACCUCUGAGUGGUAAAGCGAAAGCGUUAAGUAUUCCACCUGGGGAGUACGCCGGCAACGGUGAAACU
rnacentral:rRNA from 1 species